AGAAAAUCAUGUACCAGAGAGACCUCCUCCCCAGCUGCUGUUUGGUUGCACGGCGCUAAUGAGCCAGGUUCCAGUUGGCCUGGAGUCUGGGAGUUAACAGGAAAAGUCACUCUGUGGAGGGAAAUCAAGGUCAAAGUUCAGAUGUUUGCCAAGGCCAGAGACCAGGAUUGCCCUGAGGAGAGAAAAGACCUGAACAGAAGCCUGUCUGCUCCCAGGCACUCUGUCCCUUGGCCAACUACCCUAGAGACAGGUCCUGAAGCGGGUCACCGCCCACAGAAGCAUCCGCAGCACUCAGCUGGGCCUACGCACGACCACGAGUGAGUCACAAGUGAAAGAUGGAAGCGUCUCCCCCGGCUGCGGGCCCUGGGUCCCCAAACCACAUCUCUGUUUUCAUAUAUGUGUUGGGAUGAUUCAGCGGAAACUUCUGGUCAAACGGAUCACCAUAGCAACUUUCAGUAGACAUCCAGCAUGCAAAUGAGACGGUGGAAAAGGCCGCUUUCUCCAAAGCCCCAGACCGUCCUCCUCGGAACCUGCCGGGGAUUGAAUUCUAGACCCUUUGAAGGUUUCACUCAGAGUCUGUGUCAAGGCUGGUCGGCACCUGGCUAGGUCUGCUGAUGUCUUCAGAUGCUGAGUGAUCUCCACCAGCGAAUGUUCCAGAAGCUUCUGCGGACCCCUUGAGGAUGGGGCUCCUGUGUAGAAUACGGCCCCUUGGCUGCGGUGAGCUCUGCCUUCAUACUCGGCGCCUGACUGCCCACCCAUCCUCACCAUCCGGCCCAGGCAUUGAAUGUCCUGACGGAAGAUGAGAAAUAGUCUCAGUCGUGCCUCCUCUUAAACCCCUCCCCGCAGAGUUACCCUCUGCAGAUGAACACGCAGAGCCAGUUUUCUCACUGUGCCUUUUUCAUUAAUAAAGUAUAUGAUCCAGGGACUUGCCUGGUGGCCCAGUGCCUAAGACUCUGCGCUCCCAACGCAGGGGGCCCCGGGUUCGGUUCCUGCUCGGGGAGCCAGAUCCCGCGUGCCGAGACUAAGAGGUCACACACCGC
ensembl:lncRNA